CCUGACUCAGGAUGAACGCUAGCGACAGGCUAACACAUGCAAGUCGAGGGCAGCAUAGAAGUAGCAAUACUUGGUGGCGACCGGCGCACGGGUGAGUAACGCGUAUGACCAACCUACCUAUCAGGAAGGGGAACUAACCCGGCGAAAGUCGGACUAAUACCGCAUAAAACAGGGGCACCGCAUGGUGAUAUUUGUUAAAGAAAUUCGCUGAUAGAUGGGCAUGCGUUCCAUUAGGUAGUUGGUGAGGUAACGGCUCACCAAGCCGACGAUGGAUAGGGGAACUGAGAGGUUGGUCCCCCACACUGGUACUGAGACACGGACCAGACUCCUACGGGAGGCAGCAGUGAGGAAUAUUGGUCAAUGGGCGGGAGCCUGAACCAGCCAAGUCGCGUGAAAGGAAGAAGGAUCUAUGGUUCGUAAACUUCUUUUGCAGGGGAAUAAAGUGCGGGACGUGUCCUGUUUUGUAUGUACCCUGAGAAUAAGGAUCGGCUAACUCCGUGCCAGCAGCUGC
rnacentral:rRNA from 1 species